rnacentral:rRNA from 1 species
UACGAAGGGGGCUAGCGUUGUUCGGAAUCACUGGGCGUAAAGGGCGCGUAGGCGGCCGAUCAAGUCGGGGGUGAAAGCCUGUGGCUCAACCACAGAAUUGCCUUCGAUACUGGUUGGCUUGAGACCGGAAGAGGUUAGUGGAACUGCGAGUGUAGAGGUGAAAUUCGUAGAUAUUCGCAAGAACACCAGUGGCGAAGGCGGCUGACUGGUCCGGUUCUGACGCUGAGGCGCGAAAGCGUGGGGAGCAAACAGG